AAUAAAUGCAGUUUUGCACUAUUCACGUUCAACGUUUGACCGUUCGUCUUAUUUGAAAUUUUUUUAUGAUUAGUAUUUUUAUUGCUAUUAGAUGAUAAAACAUAAAUAGUACUUUAUGUGUGACUAAAUAUUUUCAAAUUUUUCAAAUAAGACGGACGGUCAAAUGUUGGGCACGGAUAUCCACGGCUGCACUUAUU
rnacentral:pre_miRNA from 1 species